UUGUGGCGCCGCGUUAUGUGCUUUUGCUAUACAACAGAUUUCUCAUAUGACUUGGUGCCCCUGGGUGAACGAACGUACAAGCAGUACGCAGCAACGGUGAUUACAGUGUGCAGCCAUAGAGUAUGGAGUUGGUGGUAGUUGAUAAAUAUAGUGAGAUUACGUGAAUCCAUGAAGUAGUGUAUACAGACGUGGAGGUCGACGCUACUAAUAAAAGUGUUAAGAUUGAUUGAGUAAUUAAUUACGUACAACUAACGGUUGCGUAGCGUGGUCCACAGCUUAGGAAUCAGGUACACUCUUUGCACAAUCAGACGUACGGCGUAGAAAAACUCGGCAAAGGGGCGGUUACUACGCGACUAAAAUAGCAUUGGUAAAUAAGGUACGAAAAAGUUGUCGAUUAUAAGAGCAGAUGAAAACACAGAACUCUAAUGGAAGAUAUUGAGGAAGCUAUGAAUUGUACAGCAAGUGGUAUAAUUCUUCAGAAAACCAGUAGCAAACCACAGUCUGAGGUGGGAUCAUUCAGGCUGGUAUGCUUACUUCCAGUCAUGGACAAAAUAUUAGAGAGACUGAUGGUACAGUGGACAAAUAAUUCCUGGGAUUCCUGAAAGGCAAAUCCACUGAAACAGCUUUGUGUGAGUUAGAUAAGUCCAUUGACUUCAAAGGGGCAUUUGUUCAUCUAAGAUGGGUUGACUGCUAGAAAUGUUGGGAGAGAAACGAUGUAGCCUGUAGACUAUGUGGUCCCACAAUCCGACUGAUAGGAGUGUCGUUGUCAGAGUUCACAGUGAAGAAGAGCAUCAGUAGAGGAUGUGUGCAGGAUUCAUUUUGUGGGCCGUUUAUGUGGAACACUAUGCUGGAUGUGCAUAAAGAUUUCAGGAAGUUGGUAUCAUAUGAUUGCAUAUGACCUGGCCCUGUUGGUGGAAGGUAUGCCAAGAAAACAGAGGCUGAUAUAGUGGAUUCUGGAUUGGGCAGGUCAGGUGGGUGUUAAGCUUUCUCCUAGCAAGUCUGAACUUGCUUUAUGUGCCUAGGCGACCGGCCACCUGCUUUCAGGGUCUAUGAAAAGUCCUUGUUCAUGCAUAGAGAGGUUAAAUACCUCAGCAUUGGAAUUGGGACAGUCAUGAGCUUCACGAUGUAUAUAGAUUAACUGGCUUCAAGCAAGCACUCAAACAGCUAGGAAGGUUAGGAUUACCAUCAUGAAUGCUAUGAUUAAGGAGUGGCAGGAUAUGUGGUAUGCUAUGAAGAACAUGAUCUAGCAUAGAGGUAUUGUAUGUGUGGCACAUGCUUAUCGACUGCCCAAUAUAUGAGAUUGAAAGGAGUAUGACUGGGAUAGUAGAAUGUAUGAUAGAUGGAAAAGGUGUUGGUGUCCCCACUAAUUUAGUGUUGAAUGAUUUAUAUAAACUAAGAAAAAUAAGAAAGUUGAGACAGACUGAAUUGAUGAGGCAACAAAAUGAAAUGAGAAGAGGCAGGGAUUGAACGGAAAGCAAAUGAUUCAGAUGAUUCUAUUGGUUGGUUGAUUAAGGAUUGGUGAUUGAGGAAUGUUUGAUUUAUACCCGUUUUUGUUUUAUAACCGAAUUUAUAGCUAUAUUUUGGUGUCCGACUAUACUAGAGACCUUUUCAACUAAUUACUUUUUCAAAGUUCAUUUGACAACAAUUACAAUAUUUUUUCAGUUGAAGGUGGUAUUUUAACAUCAUUUUAAAUUCAAGUGGCCAAGACUAUCAAGAAGUCGACAACAAUCCAAUCAGAAUAUUACAAUGCAACCAGUGAUGAUGAUCAUGAAGAAGUGAUGCUUAGUAAUAUAUGGAAAAGAGAAGUUGGAGGACAGGAGAGUGCCUCAACCAAAAAGGUUGAUCUCAUCAUCAUCAACCCUUUUCCUUUUAGAAACUACAGUAUAGUUCCAAGUGAGGACGAAACAGCAGAUGAUAACAAUCAAAAUAAGAGAAUCACCAUUCUUGAGCAAUACACUUCAGCGCCGCAAAAACAGAUGGUACAGAAAAUUAGAAAAGUCACCCAUAAGAAUUAGAAAAGUCAUCACAAUAGACUUUUUUCUGGCAGAGUUAUUAAACGGAAUAUUGAUAUCAAAGAUUCCAAACGUUUACUCCUGAGAUCGAAAAUGAAAGUGUCAAACUGAGUGUAAUGCGCAGUAAAGAUAGGGGCAAACCCAGCAGAAAUUAUGAUGCGAGUACAAUGUUGAAUGGAGUUGCAUCUCUUGAAGCCGUAGUUUGGCUCUCCCUGCAUACGGAAUGCAGCGACCCUUAGCGUGUACCUUCUCCAGAACACUCAGAUUGACACUUGACACUCAUAUUUGAAUCUCAGGGGUGAUCGUUUGAUGUCCUUUUGCGUCUUCGGUAUACAUUUGCGGGAUUUAUAAUUGGAAUCUUUGAUAUCAAUAUUAGGUUUAGUAAGUCUGCCAGUACCAAGACUAUUGUGAUUCUUAUUACUUUGUCUAUUGUUCUGCUAUAGAUGAUGUACUGGAUGCAGGUGACUCGAAUAAUUCUUAGGGAUGAGUUCUCUAAUUUUCUGUAUUAUCUGCUUUUGCGGCGCCGAAGUGCACUGCUUAUGGAGGUUCAAAAAUUAAGGAUUUUUCCUAUUCAAGCAAUAUAGAUCUCGGUCGAUAGCCCUUUGGCCAGCAUGUUAACUAUUUUUUUCUUAAUUUAAGUUAUAAUA